AUUCUACUUCAGCUAUCCUUCCACUGAUAUCCUACUUCAGAUAUCCUUCCACUGCUAUCCUACAUCAGCUAUCCUUCCACUGAUAUCCUACUUCAGCUAUCCUUCCACUGAUAUACUACUUCAGAUAUCCUUCCACUGAUAUCCUACUUCAGCUAUCCUUCCACUGAGAUCCUACUUCAGCUAUCCUUCCACUGAUAUCCUACUUCAGCUAUCCUUCCACUGAUAUCCUUCCACCGAGAUCCUACUUUAGCUAUCCUUCCACUGAGAUCCUACUUCAGCUAUCCUUCCACUGAUAUCCUACUUCAGCUAUCCUUCCACUGAGAUUCUACAUCAGCUAUCCUUCCACUGAUAUCCUACUUCAGCUAUCCUUCCACUGCUAUCCUACUUCAGCUAUCCUUCCACUGAUAUCCUACUUCAGCUAUCCUUCCACUGAUAUCCUACUUCAGCUAUCCUUCCACUGCUAUCCUACAUCAGCUAUCCUUCCACUGAUCUCCUACUUCAGCUAUCCUUCCACUGCUAUCCUACAUCAGCUAUCCUUCCACUGAUCUCCUACUUCAGCUAUCCUUCCACUGAUAUACUACUUCAGAUAUCCUUCCACUGAUAUCCUACUUCAGAUAUCCUUCCACUGAUAUCCUACUUCAGAUAUCCUUCCACUGAUAUCCUACUUCAGAUAUCCUUCCACUGAUAUUCUACUUCAGCUAUCCUUCCACUGAUAUCCUACUUCAGAUAUCCUUCCACUGCUAUCCUACAUCAGCUAUCCUUCCACUGAUAUCCUACUUCAGCUAUCCUUCCACUGAUAUACUACUUCAGAUAUCAUUCCACUGAUAUCCUACUUCAGAUAUCCUUCCACUGAUAUCCUACUUCAGAUAUCCUUCCACUGAUAUCCUACUUCAGAUAUCCUUCCACUGAUAUUCUACUUCAGCUAUCCUUCCACUGAUAUACUACUUCAGAUAUCCUUCCACUGAUAUCCUACUUCAGAUAUCCUUCCACUGAUAUCCUACUUCAGAUAUCCUUCCACUGAUAUCGUACUUCAGAUAUCCUUCCACUGAUAUCUGUCUCCCUUCCCCAUUCCUACUAGUAAAGGUGUGUUAUUAUAAUGCUCCUCCUCCCCCUAGCAAAGGUGUGUUAUUAUAAUGCUCCUCCUCCCCAUAGUAAAGGUGGGUUAUUAUAAUGCUCCUCCUCCCCAUAGUAAAGGUGUGUUAUUAUAAUGCUCCUCCUCCCCAUAGUAAAGGUGUGUUAUAAUGCUCCUCCUCCCCCCUAGUAAAGGUGUGUUAUUAUGCUCCUCCUCCCCUAGAAAAGGUGUGUUAUUAUAAUGCUCCUCCUCCACCCUAGAAAAGGUGUGUUAUUAUUAUGCUCCUCCUCCCCUAGAAAACGUGUGUUAUUAUUAUGCUCCUCCUCCCCCUAGAAAAGGUGUGUUAUAAUGCUCCUCCUCCCCCCUAGUAAAGGUAACAUUAGUGCUGUUGAAACUAUUGCAUUUCUAGGGUUCAUAUUUCCUUAUCAAAGUGCUGAGUGUCAAAGACAAAAAUAAUAAUAAUUUUGCACUUUAAUAUUUGUUUGUCUUCAAAAUGAACAACUAAUCUCUUCCAACAGUUCAUACACUAACUUUGUCAAUAAGAAAUACAAUUUUAAUAGCAUUAAGAAAGAAAAUGUAGAAAAGUGUUUUGGGGUGGGGUGGGGG
ensembl:lncRNA